rnacentral:tRNA from 1 species
GGGGCUGUAGCUCAUCUGGUAGAGCACAACAUUCGCAUUGCUGAGGUAAGGGGUUCGACUCCCCUCAGGUCC